rnacentral:rRNA from 1 species
AACGAACGCUGGCGGCAUGCCUAACACAUGCAAGUCGAACGAGACCUUCGGGUCUAGUGGCGCACGGGUGCGUAACGCGUGGGAACCUGCCCUUAGGUUCGGAAUAACUCCCCGAAAGGGGUGCUAAUGCCGGAUAGUGUCUUCGGACCAAAGAUUUAUCGCCUUUGGAUGGGCCCGUGUUGGAUUAGCUGGUUGGUAGGGUAAAAGCCUACCAAGGCGACGAUCCAUAGCUGGUCUGAGAGGAUGAUCCGCCACACUGGGACUGAGACACGGCCCAGACUCCUACGGGAGGCAGCAGUGGGGAAUAUUGGACAAUGGGCGAAAGCCUGAUCCAGCAAUGCCGCGUGAGUGAUGAAGGCCUUAGGGUUGUAAAGCUCUUUUACCCGGGAUGAUAAUGACAGUACCGGGAGAAGAAGCUCCGGCUAACUCCGUG